rnacentral:tRNA from 1 species
GGGCCCUUAGCUCAUUUGGUAGAGCACCGCGUUUGCAACGCGGGGGUGACCGGUUCGAGCCCGGUAGGGUCCACCA